UCAGACAGAUCCCUCUUUAACUGGAGAUGAUCAUUCGUAUCCCAUUCUAUCCUAGACAAGUUUGGCAUGUAGAGGUUUUGCAGCCGGAAUAAACAAAAGGUUGUCGAAGUCUUUUGAACAUCUUUAAAAAUUUACUGAAUGCUGGAGCGUUCAGCCAUUGAAGGGAAACUGUUUUAAAGACAAGCAUCGCAAGAGCAAAUGGAGCAAAGCUACGGGGAGGUGAACCAGCUGGGGGGAGUUUUUGUCAAUGGACGUCCUUUGCCCAAUGCAAUACGAUUACGAAUAGUGGAGUUAGCCCAGCUUGGCAUCCGACCCUGUGACAUUAGCAGACAGCUUCGGGUCUCCCAUGGCUGUGUGAGUAAAAUCCUUACGAGAUACAACGAAACUGGGUCCAUUUUGCCGGGCGCAAUCGGUGGCAGCAAACCACGAGUUACGACACCAAAUGUAGUAAAAAACAUAAGGGAGUACAAACAAGGAGACCCGGGAAUUUUUGCAUGGGAGAUCCGGGACCGUCUUCUCGCGGACGGAGUAUGUGACAAGUACAACGUUCCUUCGGUCAGCUCUAUCAGCAGGAUAUUAAGGAACAAGAUUGGAAACUUCUCCCAGCCUAACCAAUAUGAAAAUGGCAAGCAAGCACCUCCGCAGUCCAGCCUCUCGUACUACCCGUAUUCAUACCCCACUGCAAUGUCUCCCUCCGGGACCAAAAUGAGCAAUCCUCCCGGUGUCCCUGUCACGGGUGGGCAUGUAAGCAUUUCCCGCGGUUGGCCUUCAGCGCACACGGUCAGCAAUAUACUGGGUAUUCGGGCUUUCAUGGAUCCUGCAGCUUUUGCUAGCGCUGAAGGAUACGCACCAAAAAUGGAGGACUGGGGUAGUGUGAAUAGAGCGACAUUUACCUCUGCUCAUGGACUCAAUGGAAUAGACAAAUCAGCUACUGAUGCAGACAUAAAAUACCCUCAGUCUUCUUCGACUUUGUCUAGUUAUGUCCAAGCAUGCGCGUACUCUCCCUCCAACCAGUAUGGCGUGUACAGUGGUCCAGCAGGCAGUUAUGUGAGCCCAGGGCAUCACUGGCAGGCCCAGGGCACCAGCCUCUCCCACCCUGGCGGUGGCGUAGCGAUGCACCCGAGUGACAUACAUUCUUCUAUGGGGUUCAAACAUGCUGUGCAAGAUGAAGACAGAAAACCACCGAGUACCCUAAGCAAGCACCAGCACGAAGCCUUGAGCAAUAUACACGGACUCAGCCUUUCUACCUCGUCCUCGUAACAACACAGAUACAUCAGUUUAGAAAUUAUCGCAUUUCAAGAACGCAAACCUGGGGAGGUAGUGUCUGAAUUAAGUGAAGUAUGCGAAAAGGUUUCCAACGGGACCAGACAAGCAGCCAUGAAACACUACGUACACAAUGGAGCUUGGAAUGAACACUGCCACCAUCCUGUCUGCAACAGACAACAACAAAGGAUGGGACAUAUUAAUCAUUUUUUGACAGCAUGCCACUCCUAUAAACCUUUACCUGAUUUCCCCAGAAAUCUUGAGCAUCACUUUCUCUCAUACAUAUCUCGAUUAACUACAGCUUGGUGUCCAUGCAGUGCUCCAAGAAAAAAAAAAAAAAAAAAAAAAAAGGAAAAGAAAGAAAAGUAAUAGUGAAAGGAUUGUACUUAAUAUGGACUAUCCUAUGAUCUCUGUGUAAAAAUUAGAAAAUGAAUAUGUAGAUAUUUAUAGAAAAAGUUUGGUGAAUGUUUUUGUACAGGCAAUAAAGUUACAUCAUUUCAUAACUGUGGUUUUUAGUGUAGUGGUUUUAAUGUGGUUUUUAGUGGUUUUUGGGUAGC